AUUGAACGCUGGCGGCAGGCCUAACACAUGCAAGUCGAGCGAGCGGCGGACGGGUGAGUAAUGUCUGGGAAACUGCCUGAUGGAGGGGGAUAACUACUGGAAACGGUAGCUAAUACCGCAUACUAAUAGAUGAGCCUAAGUCGGAUUAGCUAGUUGGUGGGGUAAAGGCCUACCAAGGCGACGAUCUGCAGAGGGUCUGAGAGGAUGAUCCGCCACACUGGGACUGAGACACGGGCCAGAUGCCUACGGGAGGAAGCAGUGGGGAAUAUUGGACAAUGGGGGGAAACCUGAUCCGACCAUGCCGCGUGUGUGAAGAAGGCCUUAUGGUUGGAAAACAAUUUAAGGGAGGAGGCGUUACUCGCAGAAUAAGCACCGGCUAACUCUGUGCCAGCCGCCGCGGUAAUAC
rnacentral:rRNA from 1 species